GCACUGCUGAGGAGUCCAACAACGGGACGAAACGGCCGUCCAGUGC
rnacentral:hammerhead_ribozyme from 1 species